UCGAGCCCAGCCGCGACCCCCUCCCUUCGUCACCUUCGUUCUUCCUCAUCCGGCCACCGAUUGAUGUGAAACAAAGUGGGUUUUUCUGGUCUCGACCCCCUUUACGAGUUUGUAGAAGAAAUCGAAGUGAAAUACGAGCUGUAUGAGGCUCUACAAGGUCGAGAAGAGAGCCUCGUCGGAGACGAAAUCGCUCUUCCCCACUUUUUCUGGGCUCUACUUUGUCUGGCCAUAUCUUCCUCUACAGGCCUCCGAUCGACCUGAUUCCAAAAGCAAUUUUUCUCACCGUGAAGUUUUCUACAACUUUCCAGAAGACAUCGACUUGAGAUAACCAUCGUGGUGGCCGCUAGAAGACCGAGAAGCCGCACAGCCGAGCUGGAAAUCGUCUUCCUUCGCCACCUUGGUUCUCCCAGCUCCGGCCACUAUAGCUCGAGUUCUUUGAGGGUUUUUCUAGCCCAGAGGAAGUAGAAGCUAUCCCCAAGAAGGCUUGCAGCGAUUUGAUCCGGGGUGAUCGAAUUUUGAAGAUUGGGAAACUAGGGUUCUUCGGGUUUCAAAACUUGCGAGGUGAUUGACGGUUUGAGUUGGUGGACGAUUGUGGAUCGUAUUUUGAGCUGAAUUGAAGACGCAGCGGGAUUAUCGAGCGGGUAAUCCUACAGGACAGGAGAACCAGGACGGUGAUCGUGCGGUUAGAGCAAUUGUUAGAGUUUUACAGCAAUUGUAAGUUGUGAGGUGUGUUAUGCUCAUUUAGAGCUUUACAAUAUUGCUUGUGAGAGUGAAUUGUAAUAAUGAACUCGAGGUUUCGAGAUUUGGAGUUUGUGUACCUUGUGGUGAGAUUAUAUUGAGAAAAAAAUUCAGAACGUUUAUUUGAUUAAGUGGUUUAAUUCAUGUUUCGGAUUUGAAUUUAUUAUUCAAAAUUCGGGGCGUGACAGUUUGGUAUCAGAGCGUAAGGUGCAUAUUUGGUGAUGUGUCAAUACCUUCCGAGUGAUGGCCCGUCUGCAGCGGAUCCCCAUCGUGUGCUCUUCGGUAUUGGCUAAGUCAUUGGGUAUGCGUGAGUGUUGGGAGUUGUUUAGGCCGCUAGGUCGUUUAGGGAACGUGAAUACCUUCCCUAUAGUAUUGACUUGGUUAAUAUGAAAUUGUAUUUGACUUAUACUGUGUUUUAAGUGUUAUACAUGUAUUAGCCAAGCAUACUAUACUCCUUAGGUGAUGGAUAUUCGAAGGGGUUGUACUUAGAACCUUACAGUUGUCUUGUAGGUUCGUAUGGGAAUAAGUUCAGUGGCCGCAAGUUACAAUCCUUGAGGAAUAGGAACCUCUUGAUUCAACUCUGUUAAGUCAACGAGGAUUGUUGUAUGGAAGUGAGGUUCUUUUGGAUGUUGAAGUGUUUGGUUGAAGGCAUGAUGUGGACCUAUGCACGUACCUAGUGUGGAUACGAGUAUUAAUGGAUAGAAAGUUUGCCUUCUUAAGUUGGACGUACAUAUGUUUUUGGAUGAGAUGUACAUGUCAAAUAAUAGAUAUCUUGUUUUGUAAUGAGAUGUCCUUGUAGAGUUUGUUAGUAGGGUUGAGGUUAGGGAAGAAAUUAUUGUGGUUACUUCUUCCUUGUGCUUGUAAGUUGUUAAGCAGGGUUUGAGGUGCGAGACAAGAAUUUUAUUUUGUGCUCGAUGGUUAGAGAUGAGAGACCAUUGUUUUGGGUUGUCGUUGAGUACUAUAAUUCCUUCAGAAUCAAGAUUGUUGGUAGAAUUGGAAUUAGUAGUAGUUUUGGUGAUUCGGAAUUUGAAUUGAGUUCGCGAGAUGUGUCUUAUAUACGUGGUUGAUGUUGCUUGCAUCAUUUUGGAACGAUACGUUACGAUUCACAAGGAAAACUGGAUCUGAAAUUUAUUCAUUUGAACACCAUGGGUUGAUGACCUGACCGUGACUUGUGAAUAUAGUUUUGUUCAAGUGAAUGAAAUUGAAUUUUGAGGCCUAUGUAUGGUGCAAGAAGAAGCAUGGAGGACAUGUUAGAGUCAGGCAAGGGUUUGCCUUUGGUGAUUGAUUUUAGGUGAUAUAGUUAAACGCAAUUUCAGAUAUUGAUUUUAGUGACUUUGUUAGGUAUCCAUAGUGGUUCAAGUGAAUUACUAUGUGAUAUGGAGUUUGAUUCGAUUUCUGAAUCGCUAAAUGUUAGGGAUUGAAUUGUGGUGAGUUUUUGU